rnacentral:rRNA from 1 species
ACGGAAGGCAGCAGUGGGGAAUAUUGCACAAUGGGCGAAAGCCUGAUGCAGCGACGCCGCGUGAGUGAAGAAGUAUCUCGGUAUGUAAAGCUCUAUCAGCAGGGAAGAAAAUGACGGUACCUGACUAAGAAGCCCCGGCUAACUACGUGCCAGCAGCCGCGGUAAUACGUAGGGGGCAAGCGUUAUCCGGAUUUACUGGGUGUAAAGGGAGCGUAGACGGUUUGGCAAGUCUGAAGUGAAAUGCGGGGGCUCAACUCCUGAACUGCUUUGGAAACUGUCGAACUAGAGUGCAGGAGAGGUAAGUGGAACUCCUAGUGUAGCGGUGAAAUGCGUAGAUAUUAGGAGGAACACCAGUGGCGAAGGCGGCUUACUGGACUGUAACUGACGUUGAGGCUCGAAAGCGUGGGGAGCAAACAGGAUUAGAUACCCUGGUA